rnacentral:rRNA from 1 species
AUUGAACGCUGGCGGCAGGCUUAACACAUGCAAGUCGAGCGAGCGGCGGACGGGUGAGUAAUGUCUGGGAAACUGCCUGAUGGAGGGGGAUAACUACUGGAAACGGUAGCUAAUACCGCAUACCAUCAGAUGUGCCCAGAUGGGAUGAGCUAGUAGGUGGGGUAAGGGCUACACUAGGCGACGAUCCCUAGCUGGUCUGAGAGGAGGACCAGCCACACUGGAAUGGAGACACGGGUCAGACUCCUGGGGGAUGCAGGAGGGGGUAAUAUUGCACAAUGGGCGAAAGCCGGAUGCAGCCAUGCCGGGUGUGUGAAGAAGGCCUUCGUGUUGUAAAGCACUUUCAUCGAGGAGGCGUAACUCGCAGAAGAAGCACCGGCUAACUCCGUGCAAGCGGCGGGGGUAUAC